rnacentral:rRNA from 1 species
AUACGGAGGGUGCGAGCGUUAAUCGGAAUUACUGGGCGUAAAGCGUACGUAGGCGGUUGGUUAAGUUAGAUGGGAAAGCCCCGGGCUUAACCUGGGAACUGCAUUUAAAACUGGCGAACUAGAGUUGAGUAGAGGGGAGUGGAAUUUCAGGUGUAGCGGUGAAAUGCGUAGAGAUCUGAAGGAACACCAGUGGCGAAGGCGACUCCCUGGACUCGAACUGACGCUGAGGUACGAAAGCGUGGGUAGCAAACAGGAUUAGAAACCCCUGUAGUCC